UACGAAGGGGGCUAGCGUUGCUCGGAAUCACUGGGCGUAAAGCGUGCGCAGGCGGCUUUGCAAGACAGAUGUGAAAUCCCCGGGCUUAACCUGGGAACUGCAUUUGUGACUGCAUGGCUAGAGUGCGGCAGAGGGGGAUGGAAUUCCGCGUGUAGCAGUGAAAUGCGUAGAUAUGCGGAGGAACACCGAUGGCGAAGGCAAUCCCCUGGGCCUGCACUGACGCUCAUGCACGAAAGCCAGGGGAGCAAACGGG
rnacentral:rRNA from 1 species